UAAAAUCUAUCUUUGGAUUGACCGCUGAUUUUGGCAGCCAGCUGAAUUGCAAAACCUUUUACUCUUUAACAUAUCAUAACCUCAACUAAAAUACUUACUUGUCUGUCUUUUCGGCUAUAUUUAUGAAAUUAUAUCAAUAUCUAUCGUAACUGUGUUACUUCAACUUGCGCGUAACCAUGGCAAUUGGUUACGUGGUGUGUUACUCUGAUUAUGGCUCAUCAUGUUUGUUAUUAAUGCUGCUUAUUUCGUUUUUAAUGUUUUCAAAACUUUGUUUAACCCUUUCCCUAUCAUUUUAGCUAAGUUCUAUCUCUCCCAGCUCCCUCGUCGAGAUACUUCUUUUUGUCAACUGUGACGGGCCCGCUCAAGAUGGCCGCGGAGAGAGCAGUAAAGACAGAAGCUGAAGAGGACGAUAUAGAAGCAGGAGGGUCAUUACGUAUGGAAUAAGUGAAUCUGACGAUGAGAAAAAAAGCUGCUGAAGUUUUUGGUUUAAAGCUAAUGGUACUGGUAGUUUUGCUUUUGGUAUUUGAGACGGACUUUGGGAACUAAAACUUUCUUUGAAAACCCCUCUAAACAGGAGGUGAUCUACAAUAAUGAAAGAUGAUCUAUUUCUGGCCAGAAAUUUGCGGAGUUCAAUCGUCUUGAUAUCAGUCUUGGCUGCAGUUGUAUCUCUAAAAAUCAGUGACGGUUUGAGGAGACACUGCAUCUCACUGCUCAGUGGAGACACGGGGAUAUGAAGCAGUUUUCCCUCUCAAAGUCCACUGAACGUUGUCACAGUCCGAUCAGAGUAAGCAGCAAAGAUAAAAAGAGACUUUACCUCUGAUGUCAGACAGAUAAAUUUUGACGAAAACAGACCUCGGAGGGUUUAGUAAAGUAAACAGACUGGCUAUGGUCCUAGUACAAGAGGAGGAGAACAAGAUACUCGCAAUCUGUACG